GUCUUGGUCGAUUAGUGGUUAAAUCAUCUCGUUGUGGUCAAUGACCCGAAUGGCGCAGCUACAACCGAGAAGCCGAGGGCUCGACUCCCUCCCGAGACA